rnacentral:rRNA from 1 species
GGAUGAGUGGCGAACGGGUGAGUAACACGUGAGUAACCUGCCCCUGAUUUCGGGAUAAGCCCGGGAAACUGGGUCUAAUACCGGAUACGACCAACCCUCGCAUGAGGGUUGGUGGAAAGUUUUUCGAUCAGGGAUGGGCUCGCGGCCUAUCAGCUUGUUGGUGGGGUAAUGGCCUACCAAGGCGACGACGGGUAGCCGGCCUGAGAGGGCGACCGGCCACACUGGGACUGAAACACGGCCCAGACUCCUACGGGAGGCAGCAGUGGGGAAUAUUGCACAAUGGGGGAAACCCUGAUGCAGCGACGCAGCGUGCGGGAUGACGGCCUUCGGGUUGUAAACCGCUUUCAGCAGGGAAGAAGCCGUAAGGUGACGGUACCUGCAGAAGAAGUACCGGCUAACUACGUGCCAGCAGCCGCGGUAAUACGUAGGGUACGAGCGUUGUCCGGAAUUAUUGGGCGUAAAGAGCUCGUAGGUGGUUGGUCACGUCUGCUGUGGAAACGCAACGCUUAACGUUGCGCGUGCAGUGGGUACGGGCUGACUAGAGUGCAGUAGGGGAGUCUGGAAUUCCUGGUGUAGCGGUGAAAUGCGCAGAUAUCAGGAGGAACACCGGUGGCGAAGGCGGGACUCUGGGCUGUAACUGACACUGAGGAGCGAAAGCAUGGGGAGCGAACAGGAUUAGAUACCCUGGUAGUCCAUGCCGUAAACGUUGGGCACUAGGGUGUGGGGGACAUUCCACGUUCUCCGCGCCGUAGCUAACGCAUUAAGUGCCCCGCCUGGGGAGUACGGUCGCAAGGCUAAAACUCAAAGGAAUUGACGGGGGCCCGCACAAGCGGCGGAGCAUGCGGAUUAAUUCGAUGCAACGCGAAGAACCUUACCAAGGCUUGACAUACACUGGACCGUUCUGGAAACAGUUCUUCUCUUUGGAGCUGGUGUACAGGUGGUGCAUGGUUGUCGUCAGCUCGUGUCGUGAGAUGUUGGGUUAAGUCCCGCAACGAGCGCAACCCUCGUUCUAUGUUGCCAGCACGUGAUGGUGGGAACUCAUAGGAGACUGCCGGGGUCAACUCGGAGGAAGGUGGGGAUGACGUCAAAUCAUCAUGCCCUUUAUGUCUUGGGCUUCACGCAUGCUACAAUGGCUGGUACAGAGAGAGGCGAACCCGUGAGGGUAAGCGAAUCCCUUAAAGCCAGUCUCAGUUCGGAUCGUAGUCUGCAAUUCGACCUACGUGAAGUCGG